AUUUACUCCUGAUCUUAGUGCUCAAGGUUCUUGUAGCAAGAACUAGUGAUGAAUUUCUUGUGCUUUCGUUUAUAGAGCUUUGUUCAAGACAGUAAGUGUCCAGUCUAUCUGCUCCUCAGAAAGUGAUUAGCUAUAUUUUUUCCUAGGGUACUGAUCUUACUUCCCUUUUACCUACUUGUAUGGGAACUGCUGAAUCAUGGCCGGAACCUCUGAUUGAUCACCUGAGCUGACAUUGAGAAGGUGGAAGCAGCAAUGCAAGCAGAGUCCCAUUUCCACAUUUUGAAGUAAAGAGGCAAUCUUGCAUCAUGGAUGAAUUUAUUCCUUUACAGAUGGGUGGUAGUGGGUUUUCCACUCUGUGUACUGCCAACUUUCUCCAAGAUUGAUGUCACCUGCACCUAA
rnacentral:lncRNA from 1 species